rnacentral:snRNA from 1 species
AAGUGUUACAGCUCUUUUGGAAUUUGUCCAGCAGGUUUUCUGUUUUGCACUGGAAAAAUCCCA